GCAGAGGCAGAAGUUACUCUGGGGGUGAAUCUCGGGACACCGCCGAACCGACUGGGAAGGAAAAAAAGGCAACUCAGUGUUGUAUGCAAACGUCGGCAAACAAACAGAAAGCUUUACAAAACACGGAAAGGUGCAUCCAGACUUUACCAGAGCCAGCCUCCCCUCAGGUGUAAGUUCGCGAGGGUAACAGAAUGGCCGGCAUCCACUGAGCCUCUGCUACUACAUUUAGAAAACCUAUAAAGUGGAGCUUACUUAAUAGAAUGCCAGGAAAAUUCCCCAAAGAUGGAGAAACUGGUAACUCAGGUCAGGAAGUGGCAGAACGAGGAUUUGAACCCACAUCUAUCUGUCUACCCAGCCUACAAUUUUUCCAUUCUGCUGAAAGCUGGGAGGAACCUUAGGCAGUGUCUCAUCGGCUGGUUUUCAAACCGGAUUCUAAGGAACGCGAGGCUCUCCAGGAAGUGCUUUAGGAAUCUUUGGGGAAGAACUGGGAAAGAGGACACGUGUCGGGAGGCCAGGUAAGUUGGGCUUGGCCCCAGUCAUUGGAUUCAAACAAAGAAGCUUCAUUUCUAUCUGUUUUAUAGAGUGACUUUAAGUUUUGUUUGAAAUAAGGGUUUUGCUACUAAAAAGUUAUUUUAAAACUCUUGAUCUAGGGGCUCCUAGGUGGCUCAGUAGGUUAAACAUCCGACUCCUGGGGGCACCUGGGUGGCUCAGUCAGUUAAGCUUCUGACUUCAGCUCAGGUCAUGACCUUGGAGUUCACAAGUUCGAGCCCUGCGUUGGGCUCUGUGCUCCAGCUCAGAGCCUGGAGCCUACUAUGAAUUCUGUGUCUCCCUCUCUCUCUGCACCACCUCCCCCACUCAUGCUCUGUCUCUCUUUUUUAAAAAUAAAAAAACAUUUAAAAAAUGAAAAAAAGAAGAAAACAUCUGACUCUUGCUUUCAGCUCAGGUCAUGAUCUCGGAGUUUUGUGGGUUCAAGCCCCACUUUGGGUUCUGUGCAGGCAGCAUGGAGCCUGUUUGGGAUCCUCUGUCCCUCUCUCUGACCCUCCCCCACUUGGGCUGUGUCUCGAAAAUAAAUAAAUAAACUAAAAAAAAACCCCAAAAACAAAACCAACCUUCUUGAUAUAGUUUAACUUCCUCCUGAAAAAGUCCAGAGAGAUUAAAUGUCUUGCCCCAAAUUUUAUA